UUUAUCACCAUGCAAACAUACAGAGAACUUAAUACACAGUAUGGCUUUUGACUCAUUUCAUGUAUAGCUAAUGAUGUCCUAUGUGUACUAUCAUGUUUUUCUUACAGUCUAUAUAGCCUUUUACGUCAUAUUUUUCUGUCGCCAUGCGACAAUUUACUAUGCGACGGCCCUUUUGGCAAACAGUUUGAAUAUUUUAUUGAUGUUUGGAUUCGUUUUUAAUUCAACCAUAUUUGAUUCUUAAGGCAUAUUUGAUUCUGAAAACUUAUGUUUAUGAUGAGUUUACACAAAAUUCAGACAACAUGUAAAGUUUACCAUGAAAACGGCCUGUUCAUAUGAGCCUGAUUACAGAAACAUCUCGGCUGGUGGGACGAAUCAUAUCGACGCUCAGAUUUUGGCUACCGAGAUAAAAGUCAAAAGAAGUUACUAUAAUUAAAAAGCAUUUCAAAUUAUUCUCAUAUAUUUCUAGUAUGCAUAUGUAUUUUUGGAUUUAUUUAGCGAAAGUCUUUUUUUAUAAAACAUUUGAUACUUUCUCAAAGAUACAAAAAACAAUAAAAAAAUUAUUAAUUUAAACGGUUUAAUCUGCCGAAUUUCGUUUACAUGAUUUUAUCACUGGCGUGCCAAUAUAGAAAUGUUUCGUCUGAGCUAAGCUGGUUGUCUUGGUAAGCAAGCUGAUAUGAAUAUAGACCUUCUCCAAAUCUCUAUUUCUCUCUGUAAUUAUAGUGGGAAUAACAUGACGUGGCGCGCCGAUGUCGGCGUGAAAUAGAGACUUGUACAUAUUGGGCCCGGAAGUAAGCCAGUACAAUACAAUUGCUAAUAAAUUUUCCAUUCAAAACUCAACAGGAAUUAAUUCCUGAGAAGACAUUGAAUAUGAACAAAAUACUUAUAAACAAAAACUAAACAAAAGCAAAUAAAACAAAAUAGAUCAUGAAACUUAAAGAUGUACUACACUUAAAACGAGAAAUUAAACAAUGAUUAUGGAAUUUUAAUUAUGUCAUAUCCAAUGUGUACAAGUCGUUUCUAUCUCAAGCCCGCCCUGGCGUGCCACGUCAUGUCAUACGCACUAUAGUGGAUCAAAGAAAUAGGGACUUGGAUGAAGUCUAAUAUGAACAGAUAGACAGUAUUGUUUCUUUAAAGUGUAUGAAAUGAAAAUUAUCAUGCAAGUAGCUAGUUUCUGUGUACGGAAUUAUUCAAAUGGAUUUUUUUAAUAGAUCUCCUCAGUUUCUCCUAAUUCAGUUCUUGUUAACACUUUUGCGAGUUGGUUUCUUUUCAAUUUAAUGAUAUUCGUGUACGAACCAGGCAAUCGCAUUACAAUGACAAUAAAACUAAAAUAAUACGUCAUUUAAAAAUGUAAAUAACAUUGAAAUGCUUGCAAUUUGCAAACCAAGCUGAAGAGAUCUAUUACGCAAGAUGGCGCCAUAUUGUGAUCACAGAAACAUCGAAAGUGUAAACCAGCCUUGAAGUUCACUUAUUUCAACAUUAGACUAAUUUGAUACAUUGUGUUCUCAAGUUAGCUUCAAUAUUGGUUUAGCACUUCCCCAUGCGCGCACGACAUCUGUUAUGAGCCACCUUUAGCGUUGACUUUCACAAAAUGGAUUCAAAAGAUUUAGUUGUUUUGUGAUGAGAUCAAGAGAA
rnacentral:lncRNA from 1 species